UCUAAUGUGGCAGAAUAGUGCGGUGAAUUUAAGCUUCACUUAUAAAGANNCCCCCCCCUUUCUUUAGAA
rnacentral:tRNA from 1 species